rnacentral:misc_RNA from 1 species
UCUCAAGUGGGAUUUCGUUUCCAAUCUCAGCCAAUGAAGCCUUCCUCGGGAUUAAGAGGACUCUUAGUCCUUUUCUCUUUGACAUGGACUUGUGCUGGGGAUUGGUCAGACUUUCCAGGAGACUCUUCUGCUUCAGACUAAAAUCAAGUAUAUGUCAAGUAACUCCGGAGACACCGCUGAAAUGCCCGUGUCGUGUGUCGUCACACAACAAGCAUGCAUGUACCAUUUGUCAAAUGAAACUGAAAGUGGAGAUGAUGAAACCAGCUCUGAAGACAUGGAAGUUUCUUACAUAAUGCAGUCACAGAACGAUCUGAAUACUACAUUCUCUCUGUGUGCCAAAUGAUGUAACUUACUAGAAGAGAAGAAAUGAGAUCUAUGUUCAAAGGCAACUUCUGAAAUGACUGUUUAGGACUGAAGAUUUAGUGUGUUGUUUUAUAGAAAUCAGAGGAGCUGGCAUGGAACUGAAUGAUACCCAAUUGUCUGUUUCAAAAAGCUAAUUUUUUAUUUUAAAUCAAAUGGCAUGUUGCCUUCUUAUCUUUUUUUUUUUUUUCAAAAAGACACUACCCCUGCUUUUAACUCCAUGGAGACUUAUUUAUGAAUAAAGUGUGUUCUAUUACCUGUCUGU